UACGUAGGCAGCAAGCGUUGUUCGGAAUUACUGGGCGUAAAGAGUGUGUAGGCGGUGCUCUAAGUUCGGGGUGAAAUCUCCCGGCUCAACUGGGAGGGUGCGCCGGAAACUGGAAUGCUUGAGCGUGGGAGAGGAAAGCGGAAUUCCUGGUGUAGCGGUGAAAUGCGUAGAUAUCAGGAGGAACACCUGCGGUGUAGACGGCUUUCUGGACCAUUGCUGACGCUGAGACACGAAAGCGUGGGUAGCAAACAGG
rnacentral:rRNA from 1 species